rnacentral:sRNA from 1 species
GGUUCGACUCGAGCGGAAGCGAGAGAACGUUGCCAACGGCAACGGCCCGAAGGGCGCGACGCGCCGAGUCAUCCUUCCCCCACCACAA